GACGAACGCUGGCGGCGUGCUUAACACAUGCAAGUCGAACGGAAAGGCCCUGCUUUUGUGGGGUGCUCGAGUGGCGAACGUGUGAGUAACACUUGAGUAACCUGCCCUUUACUUUGGGAUAACUUCAGGAAACUGGGGCUAAUACCGGAUAGGAGCUCCUGCUGCAUGGUGGGGGUUGGAAAGUUUCGGCGGUUGGGGAUGGACUCGCGGCUUAUCAGCUUGUUGGUUGGGUAGUGGCUUACCAAGGCUUUGACGGGUAGCCGGCCUGAGAGGGUGACCGGCCACAUUGGGACUGAGAGACGGACCAGACUGCUACGGGAGGCAGUAGUGGGGAAUAUUGCACAAUGGGCCGAAGCCUGAUGAAGCAACGCCGCGUGCGGGAUGACGGCCUUCGAGUUGUAAAAAGGUUCCGCCUGUUACGAAGCGUGAGUGACGGUAAUGGGUAAAGAAGCACCGGCUAACUACGUG
rnacentral:rRNA from 1 species